rnacentral:rRNA from 1 species
CUGUGGUAGUCAUUUGUUAUUCAUUGUUAGAGAGGGAUAACUCUUUCUGAUAAUAGAUAAUAAUCUUGAUUCUACUGUUACUAUGAAUACUUUGACUUUACUUAUACAAAUACUUUGCUUGUCCUUGUGAAUGUGGAAUGCUCCUUGUGAGCGAAAUACAAAUAUACAACUUUCAACAACGGAUCUCUUGGCUCUCGCAUCGAUGAAGAACGCAGCGAAAUGCGAUAAGUAAUGUGAAUUGCAGAAUUCAGUGAAUCAUCGAAUCUUUGAACGCACCUUGCGCCCCUUGGUAUUCCGAGGAGCAUGCCUGUUUGAGUGUCAUGUAAUUCUCAAUCCUCUUCUUCUUAACUGAAGAGGGGGCUUGGAUUUGGAGGUAUAUGGAUGCUGGUACUGCCUGUAUCGGCUCCUCUCAAAUGCAGUAGCUGGACUGUAGCUUGCGUUGUUUGGUGUAAUAGUUUUAUAUCUAUAUUCACUGCAGCGCUUACUUAGACUGUCUGCUUCCAAUAGUCCGCCUUGUGUGUCGGACAAGGUAUUUUGUUGCCUUAACAAUGACUCCUUUGACCUCAAAUCAGGUAGGACUACCCGCUGAACUUAAGCAUAUCAAUAAGCGGAGGAAAAGAAACUAACAAGGAUUCCCCUAGUAACUGCGAGUGAAGCGGGAAAAGCUCAAAUUUAAAAUCUGGCGGUCUUUGGCCGUCCGAGUUGUAGUCUGGAGAAGUGCUUUCCGCGCUGGACCGUGUAC